rnacentral:rRNA from 1 species
UGGGGAAUUUUGGACAAUGGGGGAAACCCUGAUCCAGCCAUCCCGCGUGUGCGAUGAAGGCCUUCGGGUUGUAAAGCACUUUUGGCAGGAAAGAAACGUCAUGGGUUAAUACCCCGUGAAACUGACGGUACCUGCAGAAUAAGCACCGGCUAACUACGUGCCAGCAGCCGCGGUAAUACGUAGGGUGCAAGCGUUAAUCGGAAUUACUGGGCGUAAAGCGUGCGAAGGCGGUUCGGAAAGAAAGAUGUGAAAUCCCAGAGCUCAACUUUGGAACUGCAUUUUUAACUACCGGGCUAGAGUGUGUCAGAGGGAGGUGGAAUUCCGCGUGUAGCAGUGAAAUGCGUAGAUAUGCGGAGGAACACCGAUGGCGAAGGCAGCCUCCUGGGAUAACACUGACGCUCAUGCACGAAAGCGUGGGGAGCAAACAGG